GAAGCCUUACUGGUUACCUAACUUCCUUCUCUGUCACAUUCCUUUCUCUUCCCAGGGAGGAAAUAUGGUGGUGCCUCUGUUGAAGCAGCAGUGGGACCAUGGCUUUGGAGAGAAAGGGUCUUUGGUGGUCAGUGGUGAUCAGGAGAUCACAGCACACAAGUUAUGAGUGAAAGGGGCCUUAGCAAAUCAUACAUGUAAUGGAUUCCACCCAAACUCUCUUCCAAUAAGGAGCAACUGAACCAACAACCACUUCAUUUCUGAAUGCUACAAGCUGUUUGAGAUUUUGUCUUGAGCUCUGCAUUUCAGCAGCUGGAAGUUGAUGGAAGAGAGAAGGGAAAAGGCAUCCAUACUUUCAUAGUUUUCCAUUCCAAGAUAAAUAGCUUGGAUGAGAGAAGAGGGAACAUAAAUGAAUCAUACAGACAAUCUGUUCUUUCAACUGAUGGGGUUGGGAGGUUAAAAGAUUUUUACAAAUAAACAUUUUUUUUAAAAGGCAAGUAUUAGCUUAUGUGUUUGACAGAAGGCUGCAAUUAUGCUCUGAUCUGUACCACAUAAAACACUAAAAUAUGGAAAUGUAAGGUUAUCUAUCCUUCUCUUGUAGAACCAGUACAUUGUCUUCCUAUCGUGAUGUCUCAUCUGGUACAUUACUCAAACUCAUGCCAAAGUAUUCCACCACUUGAGAUAGCACAUAAAAAUAAU